rnacentral:sRNA from 1 species
UUGAUUGCAAGCUAUAAAGAAAAUGUAAAAUAGCUACUGGUACUCAAAUGGUACUAGAAGCUAAAAAAUAAACUAAAUAAUAGUUCCAAGUGGCUUACAUUUGGACAAAAAAUUAGACAGUGGUAUUAAGGUGU